UACGUAGGUCCCGAGCGUUGUCCGGAUUUAUUGGGCGUAAAGCGAGCGCAGGCGGUUUGAUAAGUCUGAAGUUAAAGGCUGUGGCUCAACCAUUGUGUGCAUUGGAAACUGUUAGACUUGAGUGCAGUAGAGGAGAGUGGAAUUCCAUGUGUAGCGGUGAAAUGCGUAGAUAUAUGGAGGAACACCGGUGGCGAAAGCGGCUCUCUGGACUGUAACUGACACUGAGGCUCGAAAGCGUGGGUAGCAAACAGG
rnacentral:rRNA from 1 species